rnacentral:piRNA from 1 species
UAGAAACUCCCUCACAGGCAUGCCCAGAA